rnacentral:rRNA from 1 species
AGCAGCCGCGGUAAUUCCAACUCCAAUAGCGUAUAUUAAAGUUGUUGCAGUUAAAAAGCUCGUAGUUGAAUUUCGGGAUUCGUAGAUUGGUCGUGCCACGGGUAUGUACUGGUCUUACUGAUUCCUCCUUCCUGAUGAACCGUAAUGCCAUUAAUUUGGUGUUGCGGGGAGACUGGACUGUUACUUUGAAAAAUUAGAGUGUUUAAAGCAGGCUUACGCUUGAAUACAUUAGCAUGGAAUAAUGAAAUAGGACGUUCGAUCCUAUUUUAUUGGUUUCUAGGAUUGACGUAAUGAUUAAUAGGGAUAGUUGGGGGCAUUAGUAUUCAAUUGUCAGAGGUGAAAUUCUUGGAUUUAUUGAAGACUAACUACUGUGAAAGCAUUUGCCAAGGAUGUUUUCAUUAAUCAAGAACGAAAGUUAGGGGAUCGAAGACGAUCAGAUACCGUCGUAGUCUUAACCAUAAACUAUGCGACUAGGG